ACGCGCGAAACCUUACCAGGUCUUGACAUCCCAUUGACCGCUAUGGAGACAUAGCUUUCCCUUCGGGGACAGUGGUGACAGGUGGUGCAUGGUUGUCGUCAGCUCGUGUCGUGAGAUGUUGGGUUAAGUCCCGCAACGAGCGCAACCCUUGUUCUUAGUUGCCAUCAUUUAGUUGGGCACUCUAAGGAGACUGCCGGUGACAAACCGGAGGAAGGUGGGGAUGACGUCAAAUCAUCAUGCCCCUUAUGACCUGGGCUACACACGUACUACAAUGGCCAGUACAACGGGAAGCGAAGCCGCGAGGUGGAGCGAAUCCUAAAAAGCUGGUCUCAGUUCGGAUUGCAGGCUGCAACUCGCCUGCAUGAAGUCGGAAUUGCUAGUAAUCGCGGAUCAGCAUGCCGCGGUGAAUACGUUCCCGGGUCUUGCACACACCGCCCGU
rnacentral:rRNA from 1 species